UAAUGAUGCCAAGGCUGAUAAAAUGGUGGACGGAAAAGCCAUGUGCAUCUUGUGAAUGAUUCAAAGGUUCAGAACUGGAGAAUUCUGGCUUCCUAGAUCAUCUUUUCCAGAACACUGAUAAACAUGUAGCGGGGAAGUCGAUUCAAGGUUGCCUGAGAAAUAAUCGUCAAGAUGGCAAGGAGAAUCUAUGCUCAUCUGUAGUGGAAACGAUGGUUUACGGCUAAUUGCCGAGUAGAGUGGCUUUCUGAACGUCGAUUAGCGCCCUACGGAGUUGAGAGGCAGUACGGAUGUUGCGAGGAAGACGCAAAAGAGAGAAACUGCACAUCAGUAAAAACAGGAAAAAAAAGCAGUUUCCCUUCUGUGUUUCCUCUCGACUCUGCUUUGAAGUCCCGGUGCCAGCCCGAAACCAGCAGCCUGGACAAAGUGAGAUUUUUCUUUUUUCGAGGUUGAAAAUUGUUUUAACACAGAAGUUAAACCGGCCCAAACAAGAAUUACCCGCUGCCACCACCGAGACAACUUGACGGAGCAAUCAA